CAGUGGGGCACUGACUGGUGUCUAAGAUGCUUGAGGCAGGGCAGGCAGACCUGCAGUCACUCCUCUGCAGAGUCGCACACCGGGGCGUGUGGGCUCUCAGCCCUCACCCCACCCAGCAGGAGGGCGUGGGGAGGCGGGGCAGCGGGUUGGACCAGGUCUCCUGACAUGGGGCUGCAGCCAGGUGGGGUUGGGCUCCUGGGAUUCCCAUGCGCGUGGACGGUGGGUCAGAUGCUGUAGCCGCCAUCUGAAGCCGACGUGUGAAACUUCAGCUUCUUAGCAAGGUAGACUGAUGCUUUUUUUUAUUUUUUAAGACUGAGUUUCGCUCUUAUGGACCAGGCUGGAGUGCAAUGGCAUGUUCUCGGCUCACUGCAAUCUCUGCCUCCUGGGUUCAAGUGAUUCUUGUGCCUCAGCCUCCCACGUAGCUGGGAUUACAGGCGCCCACCAGGCCUGGCUCAUCUUUUGCAUUUUUAGUAGAGAUGGGGUUUUGCCAUGUUGGCCAGGGCUGGUCUCCAUCUCUUGACCUCAGGUGAUCCGCCUGCCUCAGCCUCCCAAAGUGUUGGGAUCACAGGCGUGAGCCACCACACCCGGCCUCCCGCGCGACCCUGGCACUGUUAAAAUUUUUUUUUUUUUUAAACAAACUUCAGCUUCUUAGACGGGCUUUCAGGGCUACAGAAAUCGCUCACGUUUUACACCCGCUUAUGUAAGUGUGUGUGCGCUGGAGCGGGUGUACACAGGCAUGUUCACUGCACCUGUAUACAGGUGCAGGCGUUUCAGGGGGGCAUUAGCUACACAGCAUUUCUCAACCUUUUGGAAGCUGGGGUAAUUUGGCUCUGAAACCUGUUCCCUGGGUCGUGCCCUCUUGCGGAUCCAGGAGAGCAGGGACAUUUGCCUGUGCGUUCACUGCCGUAUUCUUGGUGUCUGGAGCAGUGCCUGACCUGUGGCGGGUGCUUAGUGAGUUAUCCGUGCAAUGAAUGAAUGAAUCAAUGAAUGAAUGAAUGAAUGAAUGAACGAACCAGCCGGAACCUUGCUGGCCGUUGACUGAAAAUGUCUGGAUUCAAUUGACUGAAUCAAACAGACUUAGAGCUUGAGAGGGAAAAAUUAUUUCACUUAGAAAAUAAAAGUUAUCUCUGCAGGACUAGACAUGAAAGGAAAAAAAAAAGAAAAAAGAAAAAAGUUCUACCUUUGCCCCCGCGGUUCUCAGGUUUCACCUGACGUGGUGAAAUACGCUGUAGGUCACAUGCGUAGGUUUGGCCGCUGGCCGUCCAGUAGUCCUCCCACCCCGGGGGACGGGUGCGGGGGGUGACCCGGUGAAGAGGGCAGGGAGCUGGGGCAGCCUGCUGUGCGGAGCUGGGGGAGGAGGAGGGAGCCCUGGGGGACAGACAGAAGGACCAUCGAAGGAGAAACCCUGCUGGCCUCGGGACCUGGAGGAAAGAACCAGGGCCCGUGCUCCUUGGGCCAGGAUCCGGCGAUUGGACGGAACCUCUCGGAUUCCCCAGUGCUGUGAAAUCCACUUGGGGCCAUCACACCCUUCAUUGCUGUGCUCCCUGGCAGAACUCGAAUGCAGCGUGAGCUGGGCACUUUUCCCAGGGUUUGCUCUAGGUCUGGGUCUCCCAUCAGCUCCCCCGGAGCAGAGCCUGAGGCAAGGAUUCUUGUUCGGGGGCAUCUUCCUCUCAGCACCGUGCUUUGGGAAUCGAGUGAUGGUGCUGAGUGAACCCCUGAGUGAACAUCUGUGGCUUCCUCCCACCUCGUCUCUGGAUGCACUCCUGUUCGAAUGAUGUCUUAGAGGAUAAAAAUGAGCGGGCAGAUGAAGAGAUACUCAGGGUGAGGUUUGGAAGGUGCACCAGGCCCACCCCAUGGAUGUGGCUCAGAGAGCCUGGGAAACGUGAGGUCUGUGACCUGGAUCAGGCCCAGAGAGACCUGAGCAGGAGGCGUGUGAAGCCCCUGCGCCUGUGCGAGGAGGGAAGCUGUUUCAGGGAAUUUGCCUUUCUUUCCCUGUAGUUUCAGACUAGCUGAUAAAUUACCUAAAAUGUUACCACAAGAUGCACAAUGUAACCAUCACUCAUUAUCUUCAUGUUCCUGGAAUUUUUUUUUUUUUUUUGAGAUAGAGUGUAGCCUCAUGGCAGCCUCAACCUCCUGGGCUCAAGUUGUCAGAGGCGUGUGAACCAGAGCAACUCCAUCUUGAAUGGGGCUGCGUAAAAUGAAGCUGAGACCUGUGGGGCUGCAUUCCCAGACCGCUGUGGCAUUCUGAGUCACAGGGUGAGACAGGAGGUCAGCACAAGAUACAGGUCAUAAAGACCUUGCUGAUAAAACAGGUUGCAGCAAAGGAGCCGUCCAAAUCCCACCAAAACCAAGAUGGUGACAAGAGUGACCUCUGGCCGUCCUCACUGCCACACUCCCACCAGCCGUGACAGUUUACAGAUGCCAUGGCAACCUCAGGAAGUCACCAUAUAUGGUCUAAAAAGGGGAGGUAUGAAUAAUCCACCCCUUGUUUAGCAUAUCAUCAAGAAAUAACCACAAAAACGGAGAACCAGCAGUCCUCGGGGCUGCUUUGUCUAUGGAGUAGCCAUUCUUUUUUUUUUUUUCGAGAUGGAGUCUCGCUCUGUUGCCUGGGCUGGAGUGCGGUGGCAUGAUCUUGGCUCACUGCAACCUCUGCCUCCUGGGUUUAAGUGAUUCUCCUGCCUCAGCCGAGCUGAGUAGCUGGGCUUACAGGCACCCACCACCAUGCCCGGCUAAUUUUUUGUAUUUUUAGUAAAGCCAGGGUUUCAUUAUACUAGCCAGGCUGGUCUCGAACUCCUGACCUCAUGACCUGCCUGCCUCAGCUUCCCAAAGUACUGGGAUUACCGGUGUGAACCACCGUGCCCAGCCAGAGUAGCCAUUCUUUACUCCUUUACUUUCCUAAUAAACUUCCUUUCACUUUACUCUGUGAACUUGCCCUGAAUUCUUUCUUGUGAGAGAUCCAAGAACCCUCUCUUGGGGUCUGGAUUGGCACCCCUUUCCUGUAACAAAGCCAUUCUCCCACCUUAGCCUCCCAAAUAGCUAAGACCACGGGUGUGUGCCACCGUGCCUGGCUAAUUUUUAAUUUUUUUUUUUAAGAGAUAGGGUCUCCAGCCUGACCAACAUGGCAAAACCCUGUCUCUACUAAAUAUACAAACAAAUGAGCUGGGCAUGGGGGCGGGUGCUUGUAGUCCCAGCUACUUGGGAGGCUGAGGCAGGAGAAUUGAUUGAACCCGGGAGGCAGAGGUUGCAGUGAGCUGAGAUGGCACCAUUGCACUCCAGCCUGGGCACAGUGAGACUCCGUCUCAAAAAAAAAAAAAGAUGGAGUCUCACUGUGUAACCCAGGCUGGUCUCGAACUCCUGACCUCAAGUGAUCCUCCCGCUUUAGCCUCCCGAAGUGCUGUGAUUACAGGCAUGAGCCACCACACCCAGCCCACCGUGCAGGCAGUGACUCACACCUGUAAUCCCAGUACUUUGGGAGGCUGAGGUGGGAGAAUUGCUUGAGCUGAGGAGUUCAAGACCAGCCUUGGUGACACAGUGAAACCCUGUCUUUGCUAAAAAUAAGAAAAUUAGCCGGGCGUGAUAGCAUGUGCCUGUAGUCCCAGCUAUUCUGGAGGCUGAGGACAGGAUGGCUUGAGCCUGGGAGGUGGAGGUUGAGUGAGCUGAGAUCAGGCCACUGGGCGACAGAGCAAUAGCCU
rnacentral:lncRNA from 10 species